UACGAAGGGGGCUAGGCGUUGCUCGGAAUCACUGGGCGUAAAGCGCACGUAGGCGGAUUGUUAAGUCAGGGGUGAAAUCCUGGAGCUCAACUCCCAGGAACUGCCUUUGAUACUGGCGAUCUUGAGUCCGGGAGAGGUGAGUGGAACUGCGAGUGUAGAGGUGAAAUUCGUAGAUAUUCGCAAGAACACCAGUGGCGAAGGCGG
rnacentral:rRNA from 1 species